rnacentral:rRNA from 1 species
AGAGUUUGAUCCUGGCUCAGAGCGAACGCUGGCGGCGUGCCUAACACAUGCAAGUCGAACGCGCGGUCUGUUGUAGCAAUACAGCAGGCUGGCGCGUGGCGAACGGGUGAGUAACACGUGGGCAACCUUCCCCCGGAUGUGGAAUAACCCGCCGAAAGGCGGGCUAAUACCGCAUAACAUUCCGAUGGCACAAGUCGUCGGGAUCAAAGCCGCAAGGCGUCUGGGGAGGGGCCCGCGGCCGAUCAGCUAGUUGGUGAGGUAACGGCUCACCAAGGCUGCGACCGGUAGCUGGCCUGAGAGGGUGGCCGGCCACACUGGAACUGCGACACGGUCCAGACUCCUACGGGAGGCAGCAGUGGGGAAUCUUGCGCAAUGGGCGAAAGCCUGACGCAGCGACGCCGCGUGGGGGAUGAAGCCUUUCGGGGUGUAAACCCCUUUUAGCCCGGACGAAACCCUGGCAACAGGGCUGACGGUACGGGCAGAAAAAGCCCCGGCUAACUACGUGCCAGCAGCCGCGGUAAAACGUAGGGGGCCAGCGUUGCUCGGAAUGACUGGGCGUAAAGGGUCUGUAGGCGGUGCGGCAAGUCGGAAGUGAAAUCCUGCGGCUUAACUGCAGGGCUGCUUCCGAAACUGCCGCGCUAGAGUGCGGGAGAGGGGAGUGGAAUUGCCGGUGUAGCGGUGAAAUGCGUAGAUAUCGGCAGGAACACCGGAGGCGAAGGCGGCUCCCUGGACCGCAACUGACGCUGAGAGACGAAAGCUGGGGGAGCAAACAGGAUUAGAUACCCUGGUAGUCCCAGCCCUAAACAAUCGGAACUAGGCGUGGGCCCCGUUGGGGGUCCGUGCCGUAGCUAACGCGUUAAGUUCCGCGCCUGGGGAGUACGGCCGCAAGGUUGAAACUCAAAGGAAUUGACGGGGGCCCGCACAAGCGGUGGAGCAUGUGGUUUAAUUCGACGCAACGCGAAGAACCUUACCCGGGCUUGAAGUGCCGGCGACCAUCCUGAGAAAUCGGGACUUUUCGCAAGAAACGCCGGUAGAGGUGCUGCAUGG